rnacentral:rRNA from 1 species
AUGAACGCUGGCGGCGUGCCUAAUACAUGCAAGUCGAACGGGGUGCUUGAGUAGCAAUACGAGAGUAUCCUAGUGGCGAACGGGUGAGUAACGCGUUGGUGACCUACCCCAAAGUGUGGGAUAACAGUUCGAAAGGAUUGCUAAUACCCCAUGUGGUCAUUUGGAUUAGAUGCCUUAUGACUAAACGGAUUUAUUCGCUUCGGGAGGGGCCUGCGUCCCAUCAGCUAGUUGGUAAGGUAAUGGCUUACCAAGGCGAUGACGGGUAGGGGACCUGAGAGGGUGGCCCCCCACAAUGGAACUGAAACACGGUCCAUACACCUACGGGUGGCAGCAGUAGGGAAUAUUGGUUAAUCUGGGAAACCGGGAACCAGCAACGCCGCGUGCACGAUGAAGGCCUUCGGGUUGUAAAGUGCUUUUUGAAAGGAUGAGGAAGGACAGUACUUUCAGAAUAAGCUUCGGCUAACUACGU